GACGAACUGUGCAAACGUUAUUCGGAAUCACUGGGCUUGAAGAGUGCGUAGGCGGUUUUGUAAGUCGGGUGUGAAAGCCCCCGGCUCAACCGGGGAAUUGCGCCCGAAACUGCAAGGCUGGAGUGAGGUAGGGGUGUGUGGAACUUCCAGUGGAGCGGUGAAAUGUGUUGAUAUCGGAAGGAACGCCAGUGGCGAAAGCGACACACUGGGUCUCAACUGACGCUGAGGCACGAAAACCAGGGGAGCAAACGGG
rnacentral:rRNA from 1 species